rnacentral:tRNA from 1 species
GGCUCGUUGGUCUAGGGGUAUGAUUCUCGCUUCGGGUGUGAGAGGCCUUGGGUUCAAAUCCCGGACGAGCCC